rnacentral:lncRNA from 1 species
CGUGUGUGGCUGCUUGCGCAGCUGCUCCGUGCCAGGCUUGGAGGACCAGGAGAAGGGGUAGUCACUUGCCACAGCUGGAGGCUGGAGCGUGUGGCACCACGGCUCGCCUCGCUGUGGUGGGUGCUGGCGACAGAGACGGCAGCUCGGCUGGACUGAUUUGCUGAGAUUUGUUUUGUGGCCUAACAUCUGAUCUACCCUGAAGACACUUCCAUGUGCUGAUGGGGAGAAUGCAUACUCUUCAACUGUUGAGUGGGAUGUUCUGUGAAUAUCUGGUAAAAAAACUGAGGCUUAGAAACAUUGAAAAAAACUUGCUCAACGUUGCAAAACAAGAAAUUUGUGACACUGGAAUUGACAUCUACAAGGGACUGAUGUAACUAAUUGCUGGAUACAUGUCCCUCAAAGACACAGAAACAGAUCUUGUAUUCUAGUGGAUCUCCGGCACCCAGUGAGGGCCUGAAACAGAGUACAUGUCCAACAAAUAAUUAUUGAAGUAAAGAUUGACAUUUCAGGAGCAGAGAUUAAUAUUCAAAAACAAAGAUGAGAAUUUUGGCAGAAAAGUCAAAAUGAGGUUCCAACGUGGCUCAACAUGGCAGUUGCUGAUCCUGACUUUGCUUAAAAUUUGUCCAGGAAAUGUAUUUGUGGGCCAUCCUACAGAAGUUAUAAUGAAUGGAAAAACGUGAAGAACCUUCUAUUCUCCCAAGGAUAUCGUGAGGGAAUCGUCACUGUAUCUGGAAGCCAGAUGCCAAAGAUGUUCAGUUAUUAUCAAUGUAUCUAUGCAUAAAGGAUUGAAAAUGAUUCUUCAUGCCAUAAUUUAUCUAAAUAUUCAUUCCUUUGGAACACUGUUUUCCACCAAUAGUAACAAGACUUGGA